AACGAACGCUGGCGGCGCGCUUAACACAUGCAAGUCGAACGAGAAGGCGUAGCAAUACGCUUGUACAGUGGCGAACGGGUGAGUAAUACGUGGGCGACCUACCCUCGAGUGGGGAAUAACCCGCCGAAAGGCGGGCUAAUGCCGCGUACGCUUCCAUCUUUAUGGAGGUGGAAGGAAAGCCGUGCCGUGGGCACGGCGCUCAAGGAUGGGCUCACGUCCUAUCAGCUUGUUGGUAGGGAACGGCCUACCAAGGCUCCGACGGGUAGCUGGUCUGAGAGGACGAUCAGCCACACUGGCACUGCGACACGGGCCAGACUCCUACGGGAGGCAGCAGUGAGGAAUAUUGCGCAAUGGGCGAAAGCCUGACGCAGCGA
rnacentral:rRNA from 1 species